UCUGGAAACUNUCUGACUUGAGUGCAGAAGGGGAGAGUGGAAUUCCAUGUGUAGCGGUGAAAUGCGUAGAUAUAUGGAGGAACACCAGUGGCGAAAGCGGCUCUNUGGUCUGUCACUGACGCUGAGGCUCGAAAGCGUGGGUAGCGAACAGGAUUAGAUACCCUGGUAGUNCACGCCGUAAACGAUGAGUGCUAGGUGUUAGGCCCUUUCCGGGGCUUAGUGCCGGAGCUAACGCAAUAAGCACUCCGCCUGGGGAGUACGACCGCAAGGUUGAAACUCAAAGGAAUUGACGGGGGCCCGCACAAGCGGUGGAGCAUGUGGUUUAAUUCGAAGCAACGCGAAGAACCUUACCAGGUCUUGACAUCCCGAUGCUAUUCUUAGAGAUAGGAAGUUACUUCGGUACAUCGGAGACAGGUGGUGCAUGGUUGUCGUCAGCUCGUGUCGUGAGAUGUUGGGUUAAGUCCCGCAACGAGCGCAACCCUUAUUGUUAGUUGCCAUCAUUAUGUUGGGCACUCUAGCGAGACUGCCGGUAAUAAACCGGAGGAAGGUGGGGAUGACGUCAAAUCAUCAUGCCCCUUAUGACCUGGGCUACACACGUGCUACAAUGGUCGGUACAACGAGUUGCGAGCCGGUGACGGCAAGCUAAUCUCUGAAAGCCGAUCUCAGUUCGGAUUGGAGGCUGCAACUCGCCUCCAUGAAGUCGGAAUCGCUAGUAAUCGCGGAUCAGCACGCCGCGGUGAAUACGUUCCCGGGCCUUGUACACACCGCCCGUCACACCACGAGAGUUUGUAACACCCGAAGUCGGUGAGGUAACCUUUUAGGGNCCA
rnacentral:rRNA from 1 species